rnacentral:rRNA from 1 species
UACGGGGGGGGCAAGCGUUGUUCGGAAUUACUGGGCGUAAAGGGCUCGUAGGUGGCCAACUAAGUCAGACGUGAAAUCCCUCAGCUUAACUGGGGAACUGCGUCUGAUACUGGAUGGCUUGAGUUUGGGAGAGGGAUGCGGAAUUCCAGGUGUAGCGGUGAAAUGCGUAGAUACCGGAAGGAACACCAGUGGCGAAAGCGAUCUGCUGGCCCGCCCUUGACGCUCAGGUGCGAAAGCUAGGGGAGCGACCGGG